rnacentral:hammerhead_ribozyme from 1 species
GCACUGCUGAGGAGUCCCAUAAUAGGACGAAAUGGACGUUCAGUGC